rnacentral:rRNA from 1 species
GUCCACGCCGUAAACGAUGGAUACUAGCUGUUCGGAGCAAUCUGAGUGGCUAAGCGAAAGUGAUAAGUAUCCCACCUGGGAGUAUGUUCGCAAGAAUGAAACUCAAAGGAAUUGACGGGGCCCGCACAAGCGGUGGAGCAUGUGGUUUAAUUCGAUGAUACGCGAGGAACCUUACCAAGGCUUAAAUGGGAAACGACAGGUUUGGAAACAGACUUUUCUUCGGACGUUUUUCAAGGUGCUGCAUGGUUGUCGU